rnacentral:rRNA from 1 species
GCAAGUGGAACGCCAACUGGUGAGUAGCAAUACCUGCCAGAAGGAGUCGCGUAAGGGUGCGUAACACGUGGGCAAUCUGCCCUAAAGUUCGGAACAACCUGCCGAAAGGUGAGCUAAUACCGAAUGUGAUCGUUUGCAGGCAUCUGUGAAUGAUCAAAGCUGGGGAUCGUAAGACCUGGCGCUUUAGGAUGGGCCCGCGGCCUAUCAGCUAGUUGGUGAGGUAACGGCUCACCAAGGCUAAGACGGGUAGCCGGUCUGAGAGGACGAUC